CUGACAGCUGAUGGAUGGUGUGAGGCUAGGAGCGGGGGUGUGGAAAGUCAUAUCCCAAUGACAAGCUCUUGCCUCCUUCCCUGAUGGGCAGAGGCUGCUGGGCGGAAGAAGAAUGAGGAACAGCCACAGCCUGAGCUCUGCCAUCUCCUACCUGAGUGUAGAGAGCCAACAAGAAGACUUAGAAGCAGACAAACUUUUGCUCCAGUCUCAAAAAUGGCCUGCCCCUGGGCAUUCUUGUUCCAGACCAAAAGCUCUCAACACAUCAUCGAAGAGGACAGAGAUAUCAAUAACAACACAGGCAAAGCCAGCAUCAAAUCCCUUAGGUAAGAUUUCCCUUUUGUUUUCUUCCUGGUUUCCUGAUUAGUCUGAAAUUGUCACAUAUUUGCUGAUGAUUCAGCUUUAUGACUCCAGACUUCAACUUUCCCCUAGACUCUAGGCACCUGCUUCUAUUUGCUGAAGGGCAUUUGUACUUCAUGGACUUUCUGGGAAGAAGAUAUUUCCCAGAAUUCCAUGGUACUCAAGUUCAUUCCCUUCUCCAUUGCCUGACUUUAUGCUUAUCUUCAAGGAAGGAAGGAAGGGAAAAAAAACCAAGAAUUUAUUAAGGACCUACUAUAUGCCAGAUCCUUUACAAAUGUGAUCUUAUUUGAGACAACCACCUCAGGAAGUAGAGGUGCUAUUAUUAUUCCCAUUUUACAAUUAAGGAAACUGAGGUGACAGAAGUGAUUUGUUUAGAGUCACAUAGCUAGUAACUGUCUGAGCCUGGAUUUGAACUCAGAUUUUUCUGACACCAGACCCAGGACUCUAUCCACUGUGCCACCUAGCUGGCUUAAAAUACUUAAACAAAGCAGGGUCAUUGAUCAACACAGUGACAUAAGGUUCAGAAAGCUCUUUCUUUCCAUCAACCCUGUGAGGUAUCCCCAUUCUGUAGAUGAGAAAACUGAGGCUCAGAGCAGUGAGGUGACUUGUCCAAGGUCUAAUGGCUUGGUCAAUCAGCAUCAGGGUCACAUUUACAACAUGGGUCUCCUGACUUCAAAUGUUCUUGACCCUUCCCCACUCCUUCCACUGAUCAGGGCUGUUUCCUUAGGUGUAGUGGGAUGGAGGAGGGGGAGGGGGCAGAAGGCUGAGUAGGGUGGUCUCCAUAAAGCUGACUGGACAGAUCUUGGAGCUGAAAAAAAGAAAGUUUUGAGGGCACUUCAGCCUCUUUUUGAUACUCUGGCCCACUGUAGAGGGCAAACAGGAAACAUUACCCAAUUCCCUACUGGGAGAGUCCCUGUGGGUGGGAAGGUCUGAGUGACUGCUCUGAGAAAAGGUAGUUUGUUUCUGAACUUGUCCAUCCCUCUCUGGAGCAGCCCAUGAAUUUAAAG
rnacentral:lncRNA from 1 species